rnacentral:lncRNA from 1 species
CUCAGACGUAGUUAAAAAAUACUUCGCAUAAAAUAGACCCGCUGGACGAUAAAAAGAAUAGUCCAGGCAAAAAAAGGGCAUCCCGACGAACAAAAAAAAGAGAAUAAAGAGGUUCGGGCAAAAAUUAGGGAUAUAAAAAAAGAGUACACCCGGUGAGUCGAAAACCCAAAAGGGCGGCUCAGGCAAAAAUGGGUAUCCCGGUGGAUUGAAAACCCG